rnacentral:lncRNA from 1 species
AGAGGCACCACCUGCCCAUCCUUGGGCCCACAAGAGCCCAGGUGCCUUCCUGCGGGCUGGCUCUCGCCUGUGCCUCCCUGAGGCCCCCUGUGCAGUGGAGUAUGUGCUGCUGGAGGAGCCCGUGCUCCUUAAGGUUGUCCGUGUGCUUCCCUCGGGAGGAGGCCCGGGUGGGGGGCUCCCUGUCUGCCAGGACGCACGGCCCUUUCGGUGCCCCAUAAGUGUCUCUUGAGGCUAAUGGGGAUGGGGGUCUCUCAUCCCAAGCUCACUGACGGUCGUUUUCCCUUAGGGAAGCCCGGGGAGAACCGCCCGCCGCAGAGGAAAGCGGGCUGGCAGGCGAGGGAGCCCGCGUCGGCUGAGAGCCCACAGGCCCCCACAGAUGGAGUUUCGCUCUGUUGCCAGGCUGGAGUGCACUGGGGCUUGGCUCACUGCUACCUCCGCCUCCCAGGUUCAGGCAAUUCUCCUGCCUCAGCCUCCUGAGUAGCUGGGACUACAGGCACCCACCACCACACCCAGCUAGUUUUUGUGUUUUUAGUAGAGACAGGGUUUCACCAUGUUGGCCAGGAUGGUCUCGAUCUCUUGACCUUGUGAUCCGCCCGUCUCAGCCUCCCAAAGUGCUGGGAUUACAGGCGUGAGCCACCAGGCCUGGCUCCUUUUCCACUUUCAUGGACCCUCGUGAUUGCAUUGGAUCUCCCCGGGUAAUCUGGGAUGUUCUUCCUGGCCUAAGGUCAGCUGAUUAGCAACCUUAGUUCAUCUGCAGUCUCCAUUCUCUUUUUGCUGAAUCACGUCAAGUAUUCACAAGUUCCAGGGGGCAGGAGGUGGACAUCUUUGGGGGACAUUAUUCCGCCCACCAGAAAACCCAGGAGCAGCCACAGCCCCAAGACGAGGCAGGGAAGGAGUGCUGCUGUCUGCCGGUGAAGAUGAACUGCUUCUGACCCUCCCGAGCGAGGAUAUUGAGAAGAAAGAAUUUGCCAAGAUGCUAGUCACACACCAAGUACAGAGGCUAUGUUGGUCGGCUGCAGCAAAAAGACCACUCGCGGCGUGGCAGCUCUCACUGGCCCUGCUGCCUCUUCAAGUUGACUGCAGUCCAUCACCCACGGUCAUUAUUAAUUUGUUUUUGCAAAGGCCAGGCAGGUGAAUCUAAUGGAGAUGGAAACCACCACACCUGCUUCCCUGGUCUCUGAUGUUGGUGUUAACCUCUGCAAUUCCUCAAGCAAAGCACUCCUUCUAUCAGGCUCACUGUCUUGCUGGAGGGAGGAAGUUCCACAGGCUCUCACUUGGUUCUUUCUGCCGUAACAACCCUUACUCCUCCGGCCAAGGAGCCAAUGUGAGCAUUCAGCUGGCAGCUAAGAAUGUGUAUCCCAAUAAACAGGGCAGACCUACAGACCCACUGGACCCACUAGAGAUGGACUUGGGCCACAGUGCCUUCCAUGACUUCAGUAAACAGAGGGGUGUGGUGAUCUUGUCAAAGUCCUGGCGUCAAUGUCAGUGUCCGGCUACACACCAUGUUCCCGUCCUCGAAAAGCCUCUCUGUACCCCUCUAUGUUGGUGACACAACCCUGGCAAAUGGCCACAGACUCCUUUGGGGACAGAGUAGGAGCGUAACUGGUGGGAGUGGUUGGCAUGCUUUGUAUUGGGAGAGCCGCACGCCCUAGGGCUUCCAGCCUCCUCUUCAGUUUGGCAGCUGUGAGUCUGAAUUUCACUCAAAUCUGGAAACUGGGUGAGAGACUGUGGCAGCUGCUGUCCGGCUGGCAGAGCCUGACGUGUCUCUGAUCAUACUCACUGGGUCAGCAACACCCUACUGACCUUGUCCAGAAUCCCACAUCCCAGUUGAUAUCAGGGCAAUCAGUUUCCUGGCUGUUUUCCCCAAUAUCAACCCGGGCUUACAGAAGACAGUCACCACAGAGCUCCUGCCAGGAGUUCACUCAUUCGUGCAUUUCUUCCUUUUUUUUUUCUUUUUGAGAUGGAGUCUCGCUCUGUCGCCCAGGCUGGAGUGCAGUGGAGCGAUCUCGGCUCAUUGCAACCUCCGCCUCCUGGGUUCAAGCGAUUCUCUUGCCUCAGCCUCCCAGGUAGCUGGGAUAGCAGGUGUGUGCCACCAUGCCCAGCUAAUUUUUGUAUUUUUAGUAGAGAUGGGGUUUCAUCAUGUUGCCCAGGCUGGUCUCAAAUUCCUGACCUCAGGUGAUCUGCCCUCAGCCUCCCAAAGUGCUGGGAUUACAGGCUUCAGCCACCACACCCAGCCUCAUUCAUACAUUUCUUAUUGUUGUUGUUUGAGACAGGGUCUUUCUCUGUCACCCAGGAUGGAGUGCAGUGUUGUGAUCAUGCCUCAGUGCAGCGAUCAUGGCUCAGUGCAGCCUCAAACUCUUGGGCUCAAGCAGUGCUCCAACCUCAGCCUCCUGAGUAGCUAGGACUAUAGGCACACAGCACCAUGCCCCGGCUAUUUUUUUAUUUUGUAGAGAUGGGGUCUCACUAUGUUGCCCAGGCUAGUAUUGAACUCCUGGCCUCAAGCAAUCCUCCCACCUCGGCCUCCCAAAGUGCUGGGAUUAAAGGCGUGAGCCACCGUACCUUGCCCUUGGUGGAAUCUUUAGGGUUUUCUAUUCAUACAUAUAAAAUCAUAUCAUUGGCAAACAGAGAUAAUUUUACUUCCUCCUUUCCAAUUUGGAUGCCUUAGAUUUCUUUUCCUUGCCUAACUGCUCUGUCUAGAACUCCCAGCACUAUGCUGAAUAGAGUGGCAAGAGCAGGCAUUUGCCUUGUUCCUAACCUUAGAGAAAAAUCCUUCAGCCUUUUACCAUUGAGGAUGAUGUUUGCUGUUAGUUUUUCAUAAAUGAUCUAUAUCAGGCUGAAUAAAUUUCUAUUUCUAGUUUGUUGAGUGUUCCUUGUUUAUUUUGGUUUUGGUUUCUCUCACUCUCUUCUUUUUGAGCAGGGGACAGGGGCACAGUCUGUCACCCAGGCUGGAGUGCAGUGGUGUAAUCCCAGCUCACUGCAGCCUCGACCUCUGGAGCUCAAGCCAUCCUCCCAUCUCAGCCUCCCAAGUAGCUGGGACUACAGGUGUGUGCCAUCAUGUCUGGCUAAAUUUUUAAUUUUUUGUAGAGAUGGGUUCUCACUAUGUUGUCCAGACUGCUCUUGAACUCCUAGGCUCAGGUGAUCCUCCCACCUUGGUUUCCCAAAGUGUUGAGAUGACAGGUGUGAGCCACCAUGCCCAGGCUUUGUUUGGAGAUGUUUGAUUACUGAUUUAAUCUCCUUGCUAGUUAUAUGUCUAUUCAGAUUUCCUAUUUCUUCAUGAUUUAGUCUUGAUAAGUUUUGUGUUUUUAGGAAUUUGUCCACUUCAUCUAGGUCACUCAAUUUGUUGGCAUAUAAUUGUUCAGAGUACUCUCUUAUG